GACGAACGCUGGCGGCGUGCCUAAUACAUGCAAGUAGAACGCAGUUGCGAACGGGUGAGUAACGCGUAGGUAACUGCCUGGUAGCGGGGGGUAACUAUUGGGAACGAUAGCUAAUACCGCAUACUACAAGAUGGACCUGCGUUGUAUUAGCUAGUUGGUGGGGUCACGGCUUACCAAGGCGACGAUACAUAGCCGACCUGAGAGGGUUAUCGGCCACACUGGGACUUGAACACGGCCCCGACUCCUACGGGAGGCAGCAGUAGGGAAUCUUCGGCAAUGGACGGAAGUCUGACCGAGCAACGCCGCGUGAGUGAAGAAGGUUUUCGGAUCGUAAAGCUCUGUUGUAAGAGAAGCGGUAUCUUACCAGAAAGGGACGGCUAACUACGUGCCAGCCGCCGCGGUAAUAC
rnacentral:rRNA from 1 species